rnacentral:rRNA from 1 species
GAUGAACGCUGGCGGCGUGCCUAACACAUGCAAGUCGAACGGAGAAUUUACGCUGAUGAAGCUUCGGCAGAUUCUUGUAAAUUCUUAGUGGCGGACGGGUGAGUAACGCGUGGGCAACCUGCCUCAUACUGGGGGAUAACAGCUGGAAACGACUGUUAAUACCGCAUAAGCGCACGGUAUCGCAUGAUACAGUGUGAAAAACUCCGGUGGUAUGAGAUGGGCCCGCGUCAGAUUAGCCAGUUGGCAGGGUAACGGCCUACCAAAGCGACGAUCUGUAGCCGGCCUGAGAGGGCGGACGGCCACAUUGGGACUGAGACACGGCCCAAACUCCUACGGGAGGCAGCAGUGGGGGCUCUUCACAAUGGAGGAAACUCUGAUGCAGCGACGCCGCGCGUAUGUAGAGUAUUUCGGUAUGUAAAGCUCUAUCAGCAGGGAAGAAAGACUCGUAAGAGAGAUGACGGUAC